AUUUCAAGGGACACUGCACUACAUAUUGAUGUUAUACAGGUAUGAAAAUAUUUGUAUAUAUAUAACUAAGUCCUUAGAAAUCAACAAUUAAAGAGCAAACAAACAGUUUCUUUUUGUAAACAUUAAAAUAAAAUAAGUCAAUUUUGUGACCAAAUGAAUUUAAAUGUGUACCAUCUUCUUUUGCAAAAUGUAACUAACAGUUUAAAAUACAAAGAGAACUAAAUAAAAAAUCUCAUGCCAUGUGCAGGGAAUAGGCUCCAAACACAUUUAAUAGUGUUCUGGCCAAUGCACAAGCGAAAAUUUGAUAAAACAAACUCUUACUCUUUAUGUAAGAAAUAAAAAAAAACAAAAAAACCACUUGGUCCAAAAUAAAAAAAAAAAGAUGAAAAAGAUAAAUUUACUUCAAAGAAAUUUACUAAAAAAACAUAAAAAAAAAAAAUUUACUUCAAAAAAAUUUACUAAAAAAACAUAAGAAAAAAGAAAAAUGUACUUCAAAUUUACUAUCUUGAAGAUAGAUAAUGAGAAGAAAAAAAAAGUCUACAUUGAAGACAAUACUGAUCCACAACAUUGAGUCAUACUCUUGGCAUCAUUACUUAAAGCAGUCAUGUAUUAUAGAUACAUAUAUUGAAUAGAGCAAUCUCAAGCAGUAAAAAAAUACUUUGGUUUGGUUUCAUAGUAGUACAAAUCAUCAGCAUAUGGUAUAGAUUUAUAGAUGGUCAUAAACUUUUUGAAAUAAAAACAAGAAAUAUACUCAAACACAAAAAUGUAUGUUGCCAUUUACCAGUCAACAUCUAUCUACAAUCCUUGUAACAAACAAGAAACACAAAUAAUCUCACAAAGUAAACAAACAUAAAAAAAAAAUAUAACAAUACAUCCUAAAUUCUAACAUUCAAAUGACAAUCUUUCCCAAUAUUUUCAAUGCAAGGUGUCUUGAUUGAAUUUGUAUUUGUGGUCAACUGAUUUUGCUUAAUCACUAAAAAGAAUGUUUACAAUACAAUGCAAAUGUUGGCUAAAGGAAUUCUAAUUUUGUUUAUGAGCAAAGUUAACACUUGGAUAAGAAUCAGUGCAACUAAUUAAUGUAAGUUACAAUGUGUACUCUUAAAAAGAAAAAAAAAGUAAUUUAAAACUACUUUAUAGCUUUUGGCUUACCAACCCCCCCCUCUAAAGUUCAUUUUCAAAUAUGGUAUACAUGUAUGUGUGUAACUUAGUAAUAAAAAAAUAUUUAAGUGAAAUAGGGCAAAAUUUAGAUCUUUUUUUUUUUCUGUGGAAAAUAGAAAUAAUUAAGUGUUAAUUUGAGGUAGCUUUGUUGAAAAUUAUGGGAGCAAAAUAAAAAAAAAAAAAAAAAAGGAUAAAAAAAAAACGCAUUCUAGAAAGACCUUGGUUCAAAAUACAAGAAAAAUAUAUAGAUUGUAAAGGCAUGAAAACAAAAAAAACAAAACAUUUUUACAGGACAUAAAAACAUGUGACUGGAUGAGGCACACAUACAACAGUUGACUACAACAAGCAAGAAACCACAGUAUUAAUUUUAAAUCUUCAUUCAUAAAGUAGUAAAAAUUAAAGUUGACAAGUUCAAUGCCAAUCUUACAUUUAUCAAAAGUCCAAAGAGAACUAGGACAACUUUCGUAACAUUGUCACAAAUCAAUGAACAAAUUCUAACACAAGUUCAUAUCUAUUUUUUUAGAUGGUUUCAAAGCAAAAUGGUUUAUAUUUUAUAUUAAGAGCUCACAAAAAGAUUUAUAAUGAAAAAAAAAAAAAAAAUGGCCAAAAAUUAUUUACACAAGCCAAAAAAAAAUAAAAUUCUCCUUGUACAGGG